rnacentral:tRNA from 2 species
CGCGGGGUGGAGCAGCCAGGUAGCUCGCGAGGCUCAUAACCUCGAGGUCGCAGGUUCAAAUCCUGCCCCCGCCA